rnacentral:rRNA from 1 species
CCUACGGGGUGCUUCAGUGAGGAAUAUUGGUCAAUGGGCGCGAGCCUGAACCAGCCAAGUAGCGUGAAGGAUGACUGCCCUACGGGUUGUAAAUUUCUUUUAUAAAGGAAUAAAGUGAGUCACGUGUGCCUUUUUGUAUGUACUUUAUGAAUCAGGAUCGGCUAACCCCGUGCCAGCAGUCGCGGUAAUACGGUGGAUUCGAUCGUUAUCCGGCAUUGUUGGGUUUAAAGGUGGAGUAGUAGGGUUGUUAAGUCAGUUGUGAAAGUUUGUGGGUCAACCGUAAAAGUGCAAUUGAUACUGGAAGUCUUGAGUAGAAGAGAGGCAUGCGGAAUGAGUGGUGUAGCGGUGAAAUGCAUAGAUAGCACGCAGAACCCCGAUUGCGAAGGCAGCAUGCCGGCUUCCUACUGACGCUGAGGCACGAAAGCGUGGGGAUCGAACAGGAUUAGAUACCCCAGUAGUC